rnacentral:rRNA from 1 species
CUUUUUGAAAAACGUAAUGCCUGCCAGUGACCAUGUGUUCAACGGCCGCGGUAUUCUGACCGCGCGAAGGUAGCGUAAUCACUUGUUUUUUAAAUAAAGACUAGUAUGAACGGCCGCACGAGGACCUAACUGUCUCCUUUGUCCGAUCAGUGAAACUGAUCUCCUCGUGCAGAAGCGAGGAUUUUACCAUAAGACGAGAAGACCCUAUGGAGCUUUAAACUUUUAUUAACUAUUUUCUUUAUCCCUCUAAGGAACUAACAACUAAUUUAAUUUUCUUAGUAAAAGUUUUGGGUUGGGGCGACCAUGGAGAAAAAAAAAUCCUCCCUGAUGACAACCUAACCAAGAGCCACAGCUCUAAGUAUUAAGACACUUAACUCCUAUUGACCCAUUUUAUGAUCAACGAACCAAGUUACCCUAGGGAUAACAGCGCAAUCCAUUUCAAGAGUCCCUAUCGACAAAUGGGUUUACGACCUCGAUGUUGGAUCAGGGCAUCCUAGUGGUGCAACCGCUACUAAAGGUUCGUUUGUUCAACGAUUAAAGCCCUACGUGAUCUGAGUUCAGACCGGA